AGCAGCCGCGGUAAUUCCAGCUCCAAUAGCGUAUAUUAAAGUUGUUGCAGUUAAAAGCUCGUAGUUGAAUUUCGGGGUUAGUAGGUUGGUCGUGCCACUGGUACGUACUGGUCUCACUGAUUCCUCCUUCCUGAUGAACUGUAAUGCCAUUAAUUUGGUGUUGCAGGGAAACUGGACUGUUACUUUGAAAAAAAUUAGAGUGUUUAAAGCAAGCUAACGCUUGAAUACAUUAGCAUGGAAUAAUGAAAUAGGACGUUCGAUCCUAUUUUGUUGGUUUCUAGGAUUGACGUAAUGAUUAAUAGGGAUAGUUGGGGGCAUUAGUAUUCAAUUGUCAGAGGUGAAAUUCUUGGAUUUAUUGAAGACUAACUACUGCGAAAGCAUUUUGCCAAGGAUGUUUUCAUUAAUCAAGAACGAAAGUUAGGGGAUCGAAGACGAUCAGAUACCGUCGUAGUCUUAACCAUAAACUAUGCCGACUAGGGAUCGGAUGAUGUUAAUUUUUUAAUGACUCAUUCGGCGCCUU
rnacentral:rRNA from 1 species